GCUCCGAACUGCGCUCCGUGAUUGGAGGACACUGGCCGGCAAUUACUCUCUUCUACCAAUCACGUUCCUCAUCCCGCCCACACAGGUUGGAGGCGGCCCUUACGCCUGACCGCAUCUUUCAGCCUUACUAUUGGCCGUCGGCAAACACGGCUUCAGUUGAUUGGAGAGAGUGGGUGUCCGUCAGGGUCACGCUCCGAGGCAAGGAGAGGCGAAACGAGGGGUAAGACGACUUCCCUCCGGCGGGUAGACGGGCCUGCUGGGAUACUCCAGGAUGACUGGGAAAGGCACGGGGCGGGGUCUCGCCGUCCGCGGAACGCCGGAAACGGAGUCCUUCCAGACGACUUCCGGUUCCGGUGUAGGCGGUGGUUGAGUUGCCAUGGCAGCGCGGCUGGCAGCAGCCUGGUUGUUGCAUCAGGGCGGUGGCCGGCCUGGAGCAGGCCUGGGCCUGGCUUUCCCAGCUUAGGUGAGCGACCCGGGUGCCUCCGUAAGGCCGCGGCCGAAUGCGGCCGCUCGUGGCUGGAGCGGGGGCCGGGCCGGGCCGGGCACUGGCGGCCAGGCCUGCCCGGGGCUCCGGCGUCCGGGCCGGGACCACUAGUCCCGCCCGGCCACGUGGGAACACAGGCCCGAUCGGUCCCCGUGGCUCCCGCCUCUGGCGCGCGACGAUUUCUCUAACGCUUUCAUUUUAAAAGUUUGUCAAACGCUCUCGUCUGUGUGAUCCGCGCUGGGUUUGGGGCUUCGCUGACUUUCCAGCUCACCUAAGCCCUUAGGCCUAGGCCCAGGGAAGAUUUGUUGAGAGGAGGACUAAGAAGGGAGUUGGUUUAUGGGACAGAUGUUCCUUGAGCAGCUGCUGCGUGCUGGGCAUGGCGCCAGCGCGGGAUCUUCAGGGCGACCUGGGGCCCGAAGCUUGGAGUCAGCGUGAGAAAGGAGAAGCAGGUUCCUUGAUUCCAGAUAAAUCAGAGGAACAAGCUUCAUGAACAAAAAUAUAUUGGGAAUGCUGUGGCACUGCAGCGUGACUGUUGUUUCGGAAGUCUAACAUCUGGCACGCUUAACAGCUGAGAAUAUAUUAUUUCCGAAAGCACCUAGCUUUUACUCAUGCUUAUAGUAUACAUGGCUUGCCAAGCAGUGCCAUCUCCGCACCUGGGAUCCGAACUGACGAACCCCGGGCCACUGAAGCGGAAUGUGCGCACUUAACUGCUGUGCCACCGGGCCGGCCCCCUAGUAAGUUCUUUUUUUUUUUUUUUAAUAAAUAUUGGUGAUUCGUUCCCAAAAACCUAAUUGUUUAUUGCCUCCUUUAAACUGUCUAAUUCUGCUUUCGUGUUGACUGGAAGAGGGAGAGGAAUUCGCAGACUUGUGUUGUGAGGAUCCGGAGCGGUCCUGAGGAGUUGCAGAGCUCCUCCCUAGUGUGUAGUCCUGGCUUCGGAGGUAUAGUUGUCAACUGUUAUUGUUAAUAAGUUGAGAGUACAGCUGUCAUCAGAGAUUAAGGGUAAUCCUCAAGCAGGAAGAGUACAAAGCGUGUGUUUUUCAAAAUUCUGGGAGAGUGCUGCCUACCACGGAGCGUGGCGAGAACAUGCAUGAAGUGUCAGGAUGUGGGAAAGCAUGUCGGCGCUCUUCCAGGGACCUCAGUGAUGGUUCGAGCAAAGGCAGGAAGACCAAUCAUGUAUCUGAACCGAAGAAACUGAAACAGUACAUCAAAAUUUAGGUGUUUAAUAAAAAUAUAAAACGUGAUCUCUGUUGAACAUAUUCCUUUGUCUUUGAUUUAGAACUAUUCUUGCAGUAUUGCGUCAGACAUCGGUGAUUUGAAGCAGCAAAGAAAAUAGUAUUUGAAAUAUUUCUUCCAAACCACAUGAUUCGGGCAUUUUAUAUGAUUUGGCCUUUUAGUUUUGAGGUUUCUCUUUAGAAAUUCUGUAAUGAAAACAUGACAAAAAUAUACUUCUUAAAUAAACAGUUGUCAAAAACUAUACUUAUGCUCAAAUGUAUUUGGGUGUUUAGAACACGUACGUAGAUAAUCUAUGUCAGUGUGUGAUCUCUCCCUUGUGGACAUUACUGAGGGGGUGCGGGUGGGAAGUACACAGAAGCUUAUGAGAAGCCUGGGAUUUUGGUCACAAAAUGUAAUUAGACCCCAAACUAAAUAAUCAGGCCAUGUAAACAUGCUGACUCGGGCAUCCUAAAAAUGUUUUUCUUUCCUGUGCUUAUUGACAGAUAAAGCUUUAUUGAUGUGAUAAAAUUUCUCUUCCACCCACUCCUCCAAAAGCAAAUUCACGCUUGAAUCCAUAGUUACGAACCUCACACAUUGGAGAUCGUUUCUUCCUAUGUCUCAGCCCUAAACGAAGGGGCGGGGUCGCUGAAGCUAAGAGGGCGCUUUCCUUCCGGACUUCAGUCUCCAAGUCUGUGCUGCGUUCUGACAAAAGCACAUACUUUCUAUAGCGCAAACUGUUAUUACACUCCAGCAACUUCUGAGAAGGUGCCCAGACCACAGAAGAUGAAAAGCUGGGAGCCAGUGCUGUUGUGUGUCAGACCUGUUAUGAAGAUUUAUCUGUUACCAGAAGUUUCUGUCCCCCUCUGAUAAUCACUGAGUUCGCGGCCAGAUGAACAUUUAGACCGUUUUAUUGUUUUCUUUUCAAUGAUUGCUAAGAUGUAUUGCCAAGGCCGUAAAUACUCUUUAUGAUGAGUCAGGAUUUCACUUCGUACUUCAAACUUUGAGCCUUAAUGACUUCAUGCCUUCAAAAUUAAAUCUUGCUGUCAUGGGAACCCGUCGCUCCAGGCUUCUUCAACAAUUCAUCUAGCCAAGGAAGAAAAAUUCACCCCAGUUUCACAGAGGUGGUGAGGGGGCAGGUUGGAAAUGGGAUAAAACAUUAACUGUUCAUCUUGUUUUGCGGGAAAAGAUCGGAGGAUUUUAAAUAUAUUUUUUCUGCAUUCAUGUCCAGAAAAAAAUCCCAUUUGUUAAUUCUAAACUUUACGCUUUCUGUAAGUGUAACCUACUAAUUAAUUGAUAUCAAAUUUAUGUGAGCCAGAGUUUCAGUUAAAGACUAUAUUAUAAAUCAAUUAUAUUCUGGGGGAAAAAAAAGGAAGAGGGCAGCUUUUUUCAUAAAGCCCA